rnacentral:rRNA from 1 species
UUGGAGGGCAAGUCUGGUGCCAGCAGCCGCGGUAAUUCCAGCUCCAAUAGCGUAUAUUAAAGUUGUUGCAGCUAAAAAGCUCGUAGUUGAAUUUCGGGAUCAAUCUGUUGGUUGUGCCUUUGGUACGUACUAGCUUAUUGAUUUCUCCCUUCUGACGAACCAUGAUGUCAUUAAUUUGGUGUCAUGGGGAAUCAGGACUGUUACUUUGAAAAAAUUAGAGUGUUUAAAGCAGGCUCACGCUUGAAUACAUUAGCAUGGAAUAAUGAAAUAGGACGUUUUGAUUCUAUUUUGUUGGUUUCUAGGAUCGACGUAAUGAUUAAUAGGGAUAGUUGGGGGCAUUAGUAUUCAAUUGUCAGAGGUGAAAUUCUUGGGUUUAUUGAAGACUAACUACUGCGAAAGCAUUUGCCAAGGAUGUUUUCAUUAAUCAAGAACGAAAGUUAGGGGAUCGAAGACGAUCAGAUACCGUCGUAGUCUUAACCAUAAACUAUGCCGACUAGGGAUCGGAUGAUGUUAAUUUUUUAAUGACUCAUUCGGCGCCUUACGGGAAACCAAAGUGUUUGGGUUC